rnacentral:tRNA from 1 species
AGCAGCGUGGCUCAGUGGAAAGAGCACGGGCUUGGGAGUCAGAGGUCAUGGGUUCGAAUCCCGCCUCCGCCA